rnacentral:lncRNA from 1 species
CAGGUCUCCUCUUCCUUUCUCAUCUAUUCCCUUUUUAAAUCCUUUUUUAUUUUUUGCUUUAAUCGCUUGUUUCAUGGGCGAUCACUUUUCUCUCUUGCGAUCGGUGAAUUUUGAUUCUUCUGUCUACCCAUAAACCUCGUGUUGACAUGUGUUUCGCGAUCUAACAAUAUAUAUUAUUAGUGUUUACGGAUUGUUUUAGACAUCAAUCAUCGAUCCUCUCGCUGAGGAAAAUUGCAGUUCCUAGUCUUGCGAACUGUUGAUUUGUUCCUAAUUUGGGGGUUACUGAUCCUAGAGGAAUUGGAUUUCAUUAAUCUAUUUGAUUCAUCAUCAUCAUUAUGUGUUGCGUGCAGAGUAUCAAUAAUCAAUCUACCUUGGAACAAUGAGUGAGGUGUUUAACGGAUACGAGCGCCAAUACUGCGACCUCUCGGCCAACCUCUCCAAGAAAUGCUCCUCUGCUAUUGCCCUUGACGGAGGUAAGUAAUUCCAUAUCAUCUCUUGCUCCUCAUCCACUGCCCCUAACUUCCUUCCUCUUUUAUGAGUUACUACAAGCCUUUCUCUGCUUUCCAGGGCCGGCCCUAGGCCAUGCUAGGUGAAACAUUCGCAACAGGCCCCUAAAAUUUUUGAAAAAAAUUACAUACAAAUAAGCCCCAAAACAAAAUUUCAUACAGCAGGGUCAGACCUCCAGAAUCUCAGGUCUGGCCCUGCUGCUUCCCUUUGAAAGCUGAUGAUACCUUUACUGAUUGAAUUGCAGAACAAAAGAAGCAGAAGCUCUCUGAGAUAAGAUCUGGCCUCGAUAAUGCUGAAGCAUUGGUAUGUGUGACUCUGGAAUAUAGCAGUUUUUUCUUUAUUGUCCCUUUUAACAUUUUUUCUUAUUCACCAGAUUAGGAAAAUGGAUGUUGAGGCGAGGAGCCUUCCACCGAGCAUUAGGACCAGCCUCCUUGUUAAACUAAGAGAGUUCAAGUCCGAUCUCAACAACUUCAAAAGCGAAGUCAAGAGGAUCACAUCUGCUAACUUGAAUGCUGCUGCUCGCGACGAGCUGCUUGAAGCUGGUCUGGCUGACACAAAGACGGUAUGUAAAGAGAACUCACUAGUAUCUUUUUUGACAUCUUUUGAUUGAUCUAUGACAUUUGAGGGCAGGCUUCGGCUGAUCAAAGAGCGAGAUUGAUGAUGUCAACCGAUCGAUUGGGUCGAACCACUGACAGAAUCAAGGACAGUCGAAGAAUGAUGAUUGAGACUGAAGAGCUUGGAGUUUCUGUCCUACAAGACUUGCACAGUCAGAGACAGUCUCUCCUUCGCACUGGCGACACGGUAUGUACUCUCUUCUUCAGCACGAUUUUAUCAUGAAGAAGACUACGUUUUAUUUAUAUACUACUUGUGAUUGGUGUCUCUUUUAACCAAAAGUUAGAACUCUGAAACAUGCAGCUUAGUGGAGUAGACGAAAAUGUCGGAAAGAGCAAGAAGAUCUUGACGGGCAUGACCAGGGGGAUGAACAGGAACAAAUGGACCAUUGGAGCCAUUAUCACCGCUCUGGUCGCGGCUAUUAUCCUCAUCUUGUACUUCAAACUCACCAAGUAAUCCCUCUGUAUCUAAACUCUUUGUCGCUGAACAAAUGGUGUGUAUCUUUUAUUUAAUCCUUUUCUGGCUUUCUGUGUGAUAAGUUAUGUCUUUGCCACCUUUUGUAUUAUCACGUUCUCUUGUUUGCGUUUGCGAUUACAUUUGUGUAUUUUAAUACUGAAUGAUGCAAAUUGUUUUGUUUUAUUAUUACUAAACGCAAGCGUAAAUUACAUUUCAAACAAUUAGAGCCUAAGCCUUGAGAUUGAGAACUAGUUGUGUGUUUUUCUUUCAUUCUUGAACCUGUUAUAAUCAGCGAGCAAGCUCUCAAUAACCUUAUGUUUCAUGCUAUCCACCAAACCAGUCAAAAUCUGUAGAAACCAAAUCACAACCAAACAUUAUUUACAAAGCUGAAAUAGUGGAAAAUAUCGUUUUCGAGUUCUCAAACGCAUAUAAGAAACCGUUUCUAACCGCAUUGGCCACGCUUCUCUUAACAUCUUCGGGUACAAACGCAAGAACCGAAGGAAGGACGAAGCUUACGUUCAUCUCUAAUUGACCUUUGAGCCUUGUGUGGCUUCCGCCUCGGUCUGGGUACAAUGCUCCUUGAACUCCCAGAGUGAAAUCAGACUGUUCCAUGACCUGGCCAAGCCCUUGAAGCUCCCAUUUCAUCUGAAGGUAAACCGUUAAAAGGGAACAAAAGAGUGAGAAUCGUCAAGGGUUGUGUCUGUUUCUAUUACCAUGUUAAGCUCAAGAACUCUGGUUAUGUCUAGAGGUACAUCAGGCGGGUAAUCUUGACCGUUGGAUUUGCAUCUAAUUCGCAUGUCCACCACUGGCCUUGCAGUGAGGAAGAGGAAAUUUAUAGGUGACAUAUGAAUUCUCCAUUCUUCCUGCACAAAUAAAAUAUUGUUAGAUACCGAAUGCAUUCCCACUUACAUAAAAAGUAACACAUAUUAGCUACCUCGUUAAGCCUAUAGCUUCUAGGUUUAUCAGGAAACAUUGCUUUGAAAACCCUACACUUAUCCUCCAAAUACUCAUCGAACAACGCCUGAACUUUCCCGAAACGCGUCAAACACAUACACUGUUGUACAGUGAUGCAUAUAUAUAACUCAUUAUAGGAAAUGAGAGUGAGAAUGAGACCUGAGGAGACUCGUGCAAUUGAACAUCGGUAGAGAAUUUAGAUGAAUACUUGGAGGCUUUUACAGUUGACAACUGGCACUUGGCUCCUGGCCGUAAUGUUCUCAUCUCCGCCGCUGUAGACCUGAUUCUUCCCAGCAUUGUCGGACACGACAAAACUGUUGAGCUGACAGCCAUGUUAGUAGUCUCUCUCUAGGUUUUCAAGAUUGGAUGAUGUUUGAUCUUUCCCACAUGUUUGAAAGAUAAGGGGAUAUGUGUCUUUCGGCCUUGUAUGUAGACGUGGUAUAUCGAGGGACUAUCCACCUCAUCAACAUUUUGAAUUCUUGGCCCUCUUUGAUUUACUCCUUUAUUCACGUUUUUCUCACUAUUAAGAAGAAGACAAUCUUGUUGAACAAAUAAUUAAAAAAAAGAAGACAAUCUCUUUCUCUCUAUACUCUUUCAGUCUUUCUUCGGUUCUCUGUUAUGAAAACAGUCUCCUUUCUUUCGGCUAAAUCAGGUCAAUAACAGAAAAUUGUGUGUUUUUUUUACAGUGUUCUAAAAAUUGGUUUAGAUGACACAUUAAAAAAAGUCUAACCAUACAUUUAAUCAACAAUCUUCGUAAAAAGUAUAACUACCGCCUAACGAUUUUUUGCAUUGUUUUUCUCUCAAAAUAUUACAAUUGACAGAUUUAAUAUUCAAAUAUUAUAGUUACUCCAUAACUAAUAGCUCGACGGCAUAAAAUUGACAUGAUAUAGUCAAUAGUUUCGUCUAUUUUUAACAGUUGACUAUUAUAAUCCUAAUUUUUUUAAUUAUAAUCCUAGUUUUAUGGUGUAUAUAUAUACUAGUUGAUACAAGUUGUUUUGUUUAAUAUAAACGUAUACGCCAAACAUGGCGCAUAAAUUACAUUCAAACCAUUAAAGCUUUAGCCUUGAGAUUAAAAACUAAUGAUGUGUUCUUCUUUCAUUCUUAAACCUAUUAUAAUCAUCGAGCAAGCUCUCAAUAACCUUAUGCUUCAUAUUAUCCACCAAACCAUUUAAAACCUGCAGAAAGCAAAUAAAAACAUAAGAUAAUAUAUAAAUUUGGAAUAUAGUGUUUUGAAUUUGCAAAUGCAUUUAUUUCUAACCGCAUUGGCAACGUUUCUCCUAACAUCCUCUGGUACAAGCAUGAGAACCGUAGGAAGCACGAAGCUAACGUUCAUCUCUAGUCGACCUUUGAGCCUUGUGUGCCUUCCGCCUCGGUCUGGGUACAAUGCUCCUUGAACUCCAAGGGUGAAAUCAGAUGGCUCCAUGACCCGGUCAAGCCCUUGAAGCUCCCAUUUCAUCUGAAAAUAAACCGUUCAAAGAGAACAAAAGAGUGAGGUAUUUAGACUUUUUAGUACUUCCUCCAUUCAACGAAGAUAUAAAUCUUGGAUAUUUCACACAAUUUAAAUAUAAAUUUACAAUUCUAAAAUAUUUUUUUAAUACCAUAAUUUAAAAAAAAUCAAUUUAUUUCAACAGUAUUGUCUUAAUCAAUAUGAUCAGUAAAUAAAGGUAAACAAUUAUUCAUAAAACUUUUCUCUUUCUGAAACAAUUAAAAAUGUCAAAACUUGUAUUUUUGUGGAAAGGAGUGAGUACCAUGUUAAGCUCAAGGACUUUGGUUAUGUCUAGAGGUACAUCAGGCGGGUAAUCCUGACCGGUGGAUUUGCAUCGGAUCCGCAUGACCACCACUGGCCACGCAGUGAGGAAGAGAAAUUUUAUUGGCAACAUUUGGAUUCUCCAUUCUUCCUGCACAAGUAAAUCAUGUCGGUCUUUUCGUUAGAGUAACCAAAGAAUGCAACCCAGAGCCGUGCCUGACUAGAGGCUGAUCAAGCACUUGCUUGAGGCCAAAACGUAGAUAAAUAGUUUUAUGGGCCAAUUUCUUGGCAAGAGUUGUCUACAGAACAGUUGGUAAUAGUCUGUAUUAUUACUCUAGGGUCCCGGGUUCAAUCACGAGUAUAGCAGUUUGACCUUUUUUCCAAAAAAUUUAUAGUUUAUGGGGCAAAUUUUUUUUAGUGCUUUAGGACCCACAAUAUUCAGGCAUGGCCCUGAAUUGCAACCCCACACUUAUAAAAAUGGAACAUGGAUGUUACCUCGUUAAGCCUAUAGCUUUUGGGUUUAUCAGGAAACAUUGCUUUGAAAACCCUCGACUUAUCCUCCAAAUACUCAUCGAACAACGCCUGAAGUUUCAAAGCAUUACAACACAAACAGUUUUACACUGAUGCAUACAUAUAUAACAUUAUAGAGAUUGAAAGUGAGAAAGAGAUACCAGAGGAGACUCGUGCAGUUGAACAUCGGUAGUUAUUUUAGAUGAAUAUUUGGAGGGUUUUACGGGUGACAACUGACACUUAACUCCCCACCGUAUUGUUCUCAUCUCCACCGCCACCGACCGGCGUCUUCCGAACAUCUUCGGGCAUGACAAAACCAUUGAGCUUACAGCCAUUUUACCAGUCUUUCUCUCUCUUUUUUGGUCUUCAAGAUUGGAUGAUAUUUGAUCUUUCCCACUUUUCUCUCUCUCUAUAUUUAUAUAUAUCUUCAGAGGAAAGAUUGCGUCUUUGCUUCUCUUUAAUACGUUUAGAGACCUUUGUUAAAGAAAAUAGAGACAGAGAGUAACAUUCUCACGGUACGCAUUUGGAAGAUAGUGGAUUUCGAGAAAUAAUUGUUGAAACAUUGCUUUUCAACCUCUAUAGUAACCGGGUACAUAUUCGGUUUGGUUUAAUUGUUUCAGGUUUUGUAAGAAAUAUAAGUCCACUUCAUUUAAUUUAGUUUAGUUUGGUUUGGUUUAGUUAAGAGGUUACCCAUUUAUUUUGCCAUCUACGUGGUGAUAAUGUAAAGCCUCGUCUGUCACGCAGUUGUUGAUGAGAGUGACACGAGAACAUUGAACGUUGAGAAUAAUCUGUAGAAUAACUUCUAUCACACGCAGAGGUUUUGAAAAAAAAAAGAAAAAGAAUUCAUUGCUUUCGAAACCGACAAACUCUCGGACCGAAUACUAAGAAACCGGUUUACUUUGGCGCCUAGGAAUAUGGGUUACUAACUUUGACUUUUAAUGUAAGCAAUAAGCAAAGAUCUCUUGUUGUUUGCAACUCUUUCAACUCUAUAAUCUUUGUUUUUCAGACUGGCUAAGUAAAUUAAAACAUUAAAAUCUUAUAUAGUAUGUUACGAUGACUGUUCAUAAACGAUUUGUUCAUGUUGGAUUGAGAAACUAUACAUGGUUGAGCAUUGACAUUAAAAUUCGGCUUUAGUAGAUAACUUGUGUAAUCUUCUCUCGUUCUUGAACCUGCUAUAAUCAGCGAGCAAGCUCCCAUUAACCUUAUGCUUCAUAUUCUCCACUAAACCUGUCAAAACCUGUAAAUGGGUCCAAAUCAGAUCAUGUGUAAAUCAUAAGAGAUAGUCAAAUAAGGUUUUACAUACCGCACUGGCCAAGUUUCUCCUAACGUCUUCAGGUACCAAUUCAAGAACCGGGGGAAGAACAAAGCUUAUGUUCAUCUCUAGCUGACCUCUGAGCCUUGUGUGCUUUCCUCUCCGGUCUGGGUACAAUGCUCCUUUGACUCCCAAACUGAAGUCAGACGGUUGCAUCACUCGGUCAAGCCCUUUAAGUUGCCAUCUCGUCUGAAAAGAAGCAUUUAAGAGUUUGAGUAAUGGAAGAUGAAGAAACGAAGAGAGAGAAAAGUUAUUACCAUGUUGAGCUCAACAACUUUGGUUAUGUCUAAAGGUACGUCUGCCGGGUAAUCCUGACCGUUGGAUUUGCAACUUAAACGCAUAUCGACCACAGGCCACACAGUGAGGAAGAGGAAAUUAAUUGGUAACAUCUGAAUCCUCCACUCUUCCUGCAAAAAUUCAAUUUAUCCAAGUAGACUUAAAAUAGUGAAAAAGGGGGCGUUCCGAGAAUUGAACUCGGGACCUCUCGCACCCUAAGCGAGAAUCAUACCACUAGACCAAACGCCCGUUUUGAACGUGUUUUAUAUAUAACUAAUGUUAGUCAUAUUAGUUGACGUACCUCGUUAAGCUUAUGGCUUCUGGGUUUGUCAGGGAACAUGGCUUCGAAAACUCUCGAUUUAUCCUCUAAAUAGUCAUCAAACAACGCCUAAAAGUUCCUCAAAAUCACAUUUAAGAAACGCACCAAAACAGUUUAAACUGAAUCGUGUUAUAGAGGGAGAGAGAGAAGGAGACCUGAGGAGACUCGUGGAGAGGAAUAUCUGUGGAGAGUCUUGACGAAUACGUGGCAGGUUUUAUGGAUGAUACCUGACACCUAACUCUCCACCGUGUAAUUGGUCUCAUCUCCGUCUUCACCGGUCGGUAAGUUCCGAACAUGGGCGAUGACAAAACCGCCAUUUCACCGAUUAUCUUUUCAAUAUCAGAACUUUUAUAUAUUCCACAUUUCUCUUUUGAUUUCUCUCUGAAAGUUAAAAACUUUUGAAAGAACUUUUAGAUUUCUCUAGAGGAGUGAAGUUGCUUUUUGCUAGAGAUUUUGGAGGGAUAAGGGGAUAUCUGUCUUUCGGCCUUCUAUGUCGACGUGGCAUAUUUUGAGACUAGCCACAUCAUCAACAUUUGGAAUUCGUAGGGCCCUUCUUUUCUUUGUACUCCUUUCGGACUUUUCCUUUCCGUUAGUGGAUGAGAAUGACACGAGACGAAACUAAAAAAAAAAAAAACUCAAAUGUAUUAUCUGACGACAAAGGAAGGUUCGACAAACUAAACUCAAUCCUUAUUUUACAUUAGUUCCACUGUACAUGUUCUGUCAUAUUAAAAGAUCAAGAAUAUUCAAAUCCUACGAGCAACGCAUUAUAUUGUCGGAUGAAUUUCCUUGAAAGUGUAUGGUUUGAAAUUUCAGGACUGUAGAGGGCACACAGAUGAUCCUCCUAAAGAAUGUAGAUAUCAAACCUUAAGUUCUGUGAUUUGUUCUUCGAUUUCUUGCUUAUAAAAGCAAACUAAAAUGAAAUGUGGAACGUAAAUGCCACAAUUGAUUCACGGCUUCGUUGAGCUCACUUCACUCUCUUUGUUAAAACUCAAAUACAUCUCGAUCUUCUUAGUUCCAACAACCAAAGAGGAUACAAAAGACAAUCUUUCACGGUUUAUUUCUAACAUUAGUAAGAAAAGGACUCGUCUCUUUCUCUCUUAAUUCCUUCACGGUUAAAACCUCAAGUCAAACCGUCAACACACUUAUGGGCCUUAUCCAUUUCCUAACUGGGCCUUAAUUUUAAUUUUAAUUUCUAGUCCAAUCGGUAAUCGCUUCGAUCUGUCGGUAGACAGAAUAGAAUAAUGGUUUCGCCGGUUAAACCAGUCGGCAAUCGGUACGAUCAGAUUGCAUAAAAGCAAAUCAUAAUAAGUCACGUGGCACAGUUUACACGGUUCGUAGACUCGUAGUGGUCGCCAUGUAAACAGCGGGAAAACAGGGCCCCACACAUAUUAACUAAGGAGUAGGACCAACAAAAUCAUCACCACGAAACGCAGCGUUUCCCCUUCGUCUCCGCGUUUAAAAUCUUCUUUCACCCUUUCGUCAUUUCGUCAGAUCCAAGAGAGAGAGAGAGAAAUCAGAAAAAGAUCUUGAAACGAUGCCGUACUACACCAGAGACGAGGAUGAAGUCGACGAUUUCGACGAGUUCGAUCCGACGCCGUACAGUGGAGGCUACGACAUCACCGUGAUCUACGGCCGUCCGAUCCCUCCUUGCGACGACACUUGCUACCCUCUCUCCUCCGCAGCGGAUGAAGAUUUCGAGUACGAGAGACCUGAAUUCACCUCGUACCACGAUCCUUCCGCCUACGCCGAAGAAGCUCUCAACCCCGAGUACAGCAGCUACUCCCGCCCCAAGCCCCGUCCCGGUUUUCGACCCGGUUCUGCCGGAGGCGGUCACGUCCAAGGUGAGCGACCCGAUCAGAGUUACGGAUCCGGUUACGGUGGUCAGACGGAGGCUGAGUACGGUAGGAGACCUGAAUCGGGGUACGGCGGAGCCACGGAGACGGAGUAUGGCCGGAGACCUGAGCAGAGUUACGGAUCUGGUGGAUACGGUGGCAGAUCGGAGGUUGAGUCUGGUGGCUAUGGUGGUAGAUCAGAGGUUGAAUCUGGUGGAUACGGUGGAAGAUCGGAGUCUGGUGGCUAUGGUGGAAGAACGGAGGUUGAGUAUGGCCGGAGACCUGAAUCUGGAUAUGGUGGGAGAUCGGAGACGGAGACCGGGUACGGAUCCGGGUAUGAGAAGAAACCGAGCUUCGGUGAAGAGAGGAGCGAGUAUGAGCGCAAGCCUAGCUAUGGAAGGUCUGAGGAUCAAGAGGAAGGAGGUUACAGGAAGCCUAGCUAUGGGAGAUCUGAGGAUCAGGUUGAGAGCUACAUAAAGCCCAGCAGCUACGGGAGGUCUGAGGAAGAGGAAGAAGGAGGCUAUAGGAAGCCUAGCUAUGGAAGGUCUGAGGAACAGGAGGAAGGGAGUUACAGGAAGCCUAGCUAUGGCCGUCGUAAUGAUGAUGAUGAUGAUGAGGAGCGCAGGAACCGUUCCGGUGAUGAUGAGGAAGGGAGCUAUGGCCGCAAGAAAUAUGUAAGUUCAAUAAGUUAAUUAUAUAAAGUUAUAGUCAAUUUGCAUCUAGAUUAUUGUGUGGAAAUUAAGUUUAUUGAUUGUUUAAACAUAAAACCCUUUUGUUGAUGGACUGAUCUCAACAUUGAAACUAAAGAUUAUAGUUUUGGUGAUAACAUCCAUUACCCCCUUUAACUUCAUUCGUUCAGUAUUUGAUUUAACAUUGACAUCUUGUAGGUUAUAACAAUCAUAGUACAGAACUUGCAUUGUGUUUUUUGCGUCUCGUUUGUUUUGAAAAUAAGUUUUAGUUUGGUUUUGAUCACAGUGUAGCGGUGUAACUCUGUUUUCACAUCCUGAAAUGGAGUUCCUUAAUUUGAAAGCUAUGUUCUACAAUCCCAUAAUAACGUUCCUGGUUCAAUGUUUGUUUGAAUAUAGACAUCUUGAAUAUGUCCCAUUGUUGAUCUUAGUGUAGAGUAGUCUCCAUGUUGAACUAAAGUGUUUGUCUUUCAUACCCUGUAACUCUGUUUUCACAUCCUGUAAUGGAUUAGCCUCGGUUGAAAGCUAAGUUCUUUGAUUGAAAUUGCACAUCAUGUAUAUGACAUUUGAAGAUCAUAGUUACAGAGUAUCUAUCUCCAUUGUUAUGGUGACCGUUAAUAGAGGCAUCACUGACUAAAGCUUUCGCUUAACGUUAUUCAUCUCUGCAUCAAAUUCUGUAGGGUGGCAAU